GACGAACGCUGGCGGCGUGCUUAACACAUGCAAGUCGAACGGAAAGGCCCCUUUGGGGGUACUCGAGUGGCGAACGGGUGAGUAACACGUGAGUAACCUGCCCUUGACUUCGGGAUAACUUCAGGAAACUGGGGCUAAUACCGGAUAGGAAUCCUUGCUGCAUGGAGGGGGUUGGAAAGCUUCGGCGGUUUUGGAUGGACUCGCGGCUUAUCAGUUUGUUGGUGGGGUAGUGGCUUACCAAGGCUUUGACGGGUAGCCGGCCUGAGAGGGCGACCGGCCACAUUGGGACCGAGAAACGGCCCAGACUCCUACGGGAGGCAGCAGGGGGGAAUAUUGCACAAUGGGCGGGAGCCUGAUGCAACAACGCCGCGGGCGGGAUGACGGCCUUCGGGUUGUAAACCGCUUUCAGCAGGGGCGAAGCUUGUGGUGACGGUACCUGCAGAAGAAGCACCGGCUAACUACGUG
rnacentral:rRNA from 1 species